AACUUUCCGAAUAGUAGGAUAAUUGAAUUAAGAUUAUUUUUCCCUUGACCCUAAUGAGUCAAUUUACUACUAAUCAAACCUAAAUCAUGAAUACAUAUGAUCGAUUUAAUUGGCUAUAUAAUUAAUUUCAAACCACUAGCAACUAUCUAGCAGAUUGAAACAAUUCAUAAUAUUAAAUACGGAGAAUUACAUAUGCAAGUACAAAAUAAAGUAAAAAUAACAUAUUAGAUAUCAUAUAAUAAUCUUGCUAAUGCUUCCUUAAUCGUCGCCAGAAUAAAAAGAAUGAACUAGAACUGACAAUAAAAUAAACACAAAAAAUAAAAUAAAAUUAGUGAAAAGAAAAAUGAAAGAACAGAAACUUGAUUGAUUGUAGAAGGUUUCACGUUUCCAGCAGCUUCGGUGU
rnacentral:lncRNA from 1 species